rnacentral:rRNA from 1 species
AACGCGUAUCCAACCUUCCCAUUACUGUGGGAUAACCUGCCGAAAGGCAGACUAAUACCGCAUAGUCUUCGAUGACGGCAUCAGAUUGAAGUAAAGAUUUAUCGGUAAUGGAUGGGGAUGCGUCUGAUUAGCUUGUUGGCGGGGUAACGGCCCACCAAGGCGACGAUCAGUAGGGGUUCUGAGAGGAAGGUCCCCCCACAUUGGAACUGAGACACGGUCCAAACUCCUACGGGAGGCAGCAGNU